UACGUAGGGUGCGAGCGUUAAUCGGAAUUACUGGGCGUAAAGCGUGCGCAGGCGGCGCGUUAAGACAGGUGUGAAAGCCCCCGAGCUUAACUUGGGAAUUGCGCUUGUGACUGGCGUGCUGGAGUGUGGCAGAGGGAGGUGGAAUUCCACGUGUAGCAGUGAAAUGCGUAGAGAUGUGGAGGGAACACCGAUGGCGAAGGCAGCCCUCCUGGGCCAGCACU
rnacentral:rRNA from 1 species